rnacentral:rRNA from 1 species
CACGCCGUAAACGAUGACAACUAGCUGUUGGGAGACAAGAUCUCUCAGUGGCGCAGCUAACGCUUUAAGUUGUCCGCCUGGGGAGUACGGCCGCAAGGUUAAAACUCAAAUGAAUUGACGGGGACCCGCACAAGCGGUGGAGCAUGUGGUUUAAUUCGAUGCAACGCGAAAAACCUUACCUACUCUUGACAUACUUGGAAGCUCUUGUAAUGAGAGUGUGCUUUUAGAGCCAAGAUACAGGUGCUGCAUGGCUGUCGUCAGCUCGUGUCGUGAGAUGUUGGGUUAAGUCCCAUAACGAGCGCAACCCUUACCCUUAUUUGCCAGCGGUUCGGCCGGGAACUAUAAGGGGACUGCCGGUGACAAACCGGAGGAAGGUGAGGACGACGUCAAGUCAUCAUGGCCCUUACGAGUAGGGCUACACACGUGCUACAAUGGGGAAUACAGACGGACGCUAAAGCGUGAGCUGGUGCUAAUCCUAAAAAAUUUCUCGUAGUCCGGAUUGCAGUCUGCAACUCGACUGCAUGAAGUCGGAAUCGCUAGUAAUCGCGAAUCAGCAUGUCGCGGUGAAUACGUUCUCGGGUCUUGUACACACCGCCCGUCACACCAUGGAAGUGUGUUGCACCAGAAGUAGGUAGUCUAACCUUCGGGAAGGCGCUUACCACGGUGUGAUCCAUGACUGGGGUGAAGUCGUAACAAGGUAACCGUA